rnacentral:rRNA from 1 species
GAUGAACGCUGGCGGCGUGCUUAACACAUGCAAGUCGAACGGAAAGGCUCCUGCUUGCAGGGGUACUCGAGUGGCGAACGGGUGAGCAACACGUGGGUGAUCUGCCCUGCACUUCGGGAUAAGCCUGGGAAACUGGGUCUAAUACCGGAUAGGACGAUGGUUUGGAUGCCAUUGUGGAAAGUUUUUCGGUGUGGGAUGAGCUCGCGGCCUAUCAGCUUGUUGGUGGGGUAAUGGCCUACCAAGGCGUCGACGGGUAGCCGGCCUGAGAGGGUGUACGGCCACAUUGGGACUGAGAUACGGCCCAGACUCCUACGGGAGGCAGCAAUGGGGAAUAUUGCACAAUGGGCGCAAGCCUGAUGCAGCGACGCCGCGUGGGGGAUGACGGCCUUCGGGUUGUAAACUCCUUUCGCUAGGGACGAAGCGCAAGUGACGGUACCUGGAGAAGAAGCACCGGCUAACUACGUG